UUUGCAGACUCCUGAACUAAGGCACUGAUACUGAAUACUGAGUUUCAAGAAGGAAAAAAAAGGACAGAGCCCUUAUGUCAUGCAAGGAUGUCUUUCUGCAGCAAUCCCUUGCUUCAUUUGAUGUGAAGUGUUACAGCAAACCUGGCUGAAGAAGGAGAUCUAAAGUAUGUUAGAAAAACAACAAAUCAUAAUGCAUAGAUGCUGGGCCAGAAUGCAGAGCUUAUAAAUGAAUACCAAUAGAGCACUAUGAGAACAAAUGGACUCUUGCCAAUUCCCCAGUCACUCAUUUUGUAAACUUUCUAUUUUUUGCUCUCCUCCUGGGACUAAAUCAAACCUAUGAAGUGCUACUGCGUAAUUCCCCUUCAUCUUGUACUGAAAAGUGCUCUUCCACCUGCAAUCUGAUGUACAAUCGAAAAUUUCAAGCUGUUAAUAAACAGCAUGGAUUCCUGGGUCAGAAAGCUGACCAUCUGUGUGCCAAACACCUGGGUAUAAAGAAUGAAGCUGCUCAUUAUUGAUUCAGAACAUGAAUAUAAAUUGGAUUACUCUGGAAUGUUAACAGACAACACAUCAGAAGGUGCUAAUAAACCCACAACUUCACACAGUG